GCUGGCGGCAUGCCUUACACAUGCAAGUCGAACGGCAACGCGGGGCAACCUGGCGACGAGUGGCGAACGGGUGAGUAAUACAUCGGAACGUGCCCAGUAGUGGGGGAUAGCCCGGCGAAAGCCGGAUUAAUACCGCAUACGACCUACGGGUGAAAGCAGGGGAUCGCAAGACCUUGCGCUAUUGGAGCGGCCGAUGUCAGAUUAGGUUGUUGGUGGGGUAAAAGCCUACCAAGCCGACGAUCUGUAGCUGGUCUGAGAGGACGACCAGCCACACUGGGACUGAGACACGGCCCAGACUCCUACGGGAGGCAGCAGUGGGGAAUUUUGGACAAUGGGCGCAAGCCUGAUCCAGCCAUGCCGCGUGCGGGAAGAAGGCCUUCGGGUUGUAAACCGCUUUUGUCAGGGAAGAAACGCUCUGGGCUAAUACCCCGGGGUAAUGACGGUACCUGAAGAAUAAGCACCGGCUAACUACGUGCCAGCAGCCGCGGUAAUACGUAGGGUGCAAGCGUUAAUCGGAAUUACUGGGCGUAAAGCGUGCGCAGGCGGUUUUGUAAGACAGAGGUGAAAUCCCCGGGCUCAACCUGGGAACUGCCUUUGUGACUGCAAGGCUUGAGUGCGGCAGAGGGGGAUGGAAUUCCGCGUGUAGCAGUGAAAUGCGUAGAUAUGCGGAGGAACACCGAUGGCGAAGGCAAUCCCCUGGGCCUGCACUGACUCUCAUGCACGAAAGCGUGGGGAGCAAACAGGAUAGAUACCCUGGUAGUCCACGCCCUAAACGAUGUCAACUGGUUGUUGGGAAGGUUCCUUCUCAGUAACGUAGCUAACGCGUGAAGUUGACCGCCUGGGGAGUACGGCCGCAAGGUUGAAACUCAAAGGAAUUGACGGGGACCCGCACAAGCGGUGGAUGAUGUGGUUUAAUUCGACGCAACGCGAAAAACCUUACCUACCCUUGACAUGUCUGGAAUUUUGCAGAGAUGUGAAAGUGCUCGAAAGAGAACCAGAACACAGGUGCUGCAUGGCCGUCGUCAGCUCGUGUCGUGAGAUGUUGGGUUAAGUCCCGCAACGAGCGCAACCCUUGUCAUUAGUUGCUACGAAAGGGCACUCUAAUGAGACUGCCGGUGACAAACCGGAGGAAGGUGGGGAUGACGUCAGGUCAUCAUGGCCCUUAUGGGUAGGGCUACACACGUCAUACAAUGGCCGGUACAGAGGGCUGCCAACCCGCGAGGGGGAGCCAAUCCCAGAAAACCGGUCGUAGUCCGGAUCGCAGUCUGCAACUCGACUGCGUGAGGUCGGAAUCGCUAGUAAUCGCGGAUCAGCUUGCCGCGGUGAAUACGUUCCCGGGUCUUGUACACACCGCCCGUCACAUCAUGGGAGCGGGUUCUGCCAGAAGUAGUUAGCCUAACCGCAAGGAGGGCGAUUACCACGGCAGGGUUCGUGACUGGGGUGAAGUCGUAACAAGGUA
rnacentral:rRNA from 1 species